CCCAAGUCUGUAAUGUUGUAAAGAUGGUUUC
rnacentral:piRNA from 1 species